GAUGAACGCUGGCGGCGUGCCUAAUACAUGCAAGUCGAGCGAACAGACGAGGAGCUUGCUCCUCUGACGUUAGCGGCGGACGGGUGAGUAACACGUGGAUAACCUACCUAUAAGACUGGGAUAACUUCGGGAAACCGGAGCUAAUACCGGAUAACAUGUUGAACCGCAUGGUUCAACAGUGAAAGACGGUCUUGCUGUCACUUAUAGAUGGAUCCGCGCCGCAUUAGCUAGUUGGUAAGGUAACGGCUUACCAAGGCAACGAUGCGUAGCCGACCUGAGAGGGUGAUCGGCCACACUGGAACUGAGACACGGUCCAGACUCCUACGGGAGGCAGCAGUAGGGAAUCUUCCGCAAUGGGCGAAAGCCAGACGGAGCAACGCCGCGUGAGUGAAGAAGGUCUUCGGAUCGUAAAACUCUGUUAUUAGGGAAGAACAAAUGUGUAAGUAACUAUGCACGUCUUGACGGUACCUAAUCAGAAAGCCACGGCUAACUACGUG
rnacentral:rRNA from 1 species